rnacentral:rRNA from 1 species
CAAUAGCGUAUAUUAAAGUUGUUGCGGUUAAAAGACUCGUAGUUGGAUUUCUGCCGAGGACGACCGGUCCGCCCUCUGGGUCGAGUAUCUGGUUCGGCCUGGGCAUCUUCUUGGAGAACGUAUCUGCACUUGACUGUGUGGUGCGGUAUCCAAGACUUUUACUUUGAGGAAAUUAGAGUGUUUCAAGCAAGCACACGCCUUGAAUACAUUAGCAUGGAAUAAUAAGAUAGGACCUUGGUUCUAUUUUGUUGGUUUCUAGAGCUGAGGUAAUGAUUAAUAGGGAUAGUUGGGGGCAUUCAUAUUUAACUGUCAGAGUGAAAUUCUUGGAUUGUUAAAGACGGACUACUGCGAAAGCAAUUUGCCUAAGGAUGUUUUCAUUGAUCAAGAACGAAAGUUAGGGGAUCGAAGAUGAUCAGAUACCGU